UGUUAAGCUGAAUCACCACCCAUGAGGGAAGCCAAUACUGUGAAGGAGGACACCAGGAGCCUUGGAGGAGAUGCUCUGUUUUGAAUGACAAUUGGUACCAUACUGAUCUACUCCUCUUCUCCACAUAUUCCUAUGAAACCAAUGCAUCCCAAGAUUCUCUGGCAAACACAACUCAUGUCUGUCAUUUUGUUGCAAAACUCCAGCAGUGAUUUAUUCCAGGGCUGUCAAAUAUUCAUGUACCCAGAGGAAACACCAGUGUUGGUUUCUUUGCUUCUUCUGAGUUCCCCGUAGACAGCAGUUAUUUUGAUACAGUUCAUUCUUACAUAAAAUCUUUGUUCCUUAUUUCUUUUGUUAAAUUCUUGAGUAAACAAUAUCAGCUUCUCAAACUUUAGAAGGUUGUCAACGUUGUCUCAUCCGCAAAUGUGCAGGAAAUUUUGCUCCUGGUGCUGGGAUUUGAGCAAAUAUUCCUGGUAAAGCUUCCCAGAAUUAUCCUCAACAGCAUGGAGGAGACCAAAAAAGAUCCCUGUGGCCAUUAUUAGUUUACUAUAGCUUGAUCUUGUUACAAAUGCAGGCCAUUCUUUAAGCCUUUGUUCUGCUGUUUUGUCCAGUGCUCACAUGUGCAUCUUGAUUCAUCUGUUACUCAUGCCAAUCUUAAAUUUUGUACAAAUCAAAGCAGUUCCAGGUAGACUUGUUAGAAAUAAUUCUAUCAUAUUUCUCUAUGUUUCUGUUGGUCCUGGAUGCCUCCAACAUUAGAUAACCAUAAAGUGCCAUUUGAUAUCUUAAAUUCCUGAUACGAGGUGCCAUUGCACAAGCACAAAAAUUAUGCUUUCAGCAGUUUGCUUUAAUGAUAGGAUUAGUUUAAUCAAGUAAAUCUGGGGUGACUUGCUUUAUUCAUAGGUUUUUCUUUUGUGAUGCUGUGUCAUCCUUAUCCAUGUGAAUGUUUCUGGAUCUGGAUUGUAAAUUAAUCUCUUGCUGACUUUUAAAUUGGAAUACGAGCAGCUCAUUCAUCUCACUGAGAAUGCAGAAAUGUAUGAGAUACGUGUCUCUGUGCCCAUAGUGGCAGCUCUCUAGUGACAAAUGCUGACCAGUAGCGGAGUCAGGAGUCAUGUGCAUGAACCUAGCGUAUGUGCCCAAUCUUUGCACACAGGGGAUGGAAUCACCAAGACUUCCACAAUCCUUAUGUCCCCAUUCCACACUGGGGUUCAGUUUCCUUUUUGCAGUUACAUAUAAUAGAAUUUACUUGAACUAAGAAUUGUCAGGUAUUUUUAAGGUUUGCAGAAGUUUCUGGAGGGUUUUAUGUCUGUUUUCCUUUUAAAAGGAAAGGAUUUCCCUGCAGCUGUGGAGCCCAUGAGCUCAAGGAAGGUCACAAUUUGUCAGGCAAAGACUGAUCUUACAGUACAGUCAGAUGAAAAAAAAAAAACCACCAGAAUUCUUUGUAAAGGGAAUGUUCUUGAAUUGAUCUCAGAAGGAAAACAUCCACAUUGAUUGCUUUCUCUACAAGGAGCUUCAAAAUUGUUUAGUUCCCCACUGCUUUCCAUUAGUCACAGUUCCCAUGCAAGGCAACUCAGUGUCACAGCACCCGUCCUACAGCGCACUGGCUUCCUACUAGCACUUCGGGUUGUUUUGAGUUACAAUAAAAGUGAUAGAAAUGAUUCUUGUAAAUGUGAAGAUGCUUUACAUAGGGAAUGACGCCGAGUGAUGUAGUUGGAUGUGCACAGCUUUACUUGUUGAAUACAUCUGCAGAAAUUCAGCUGCCUUCUGCAAAACAGAGGCUCUGGGCUGUUCUGGAGGGUAUGCCUGGCCAUGCACUCAGCAAGGAAUAGAGCCAUGGGUGGGCAAGAGAGGCUCUUUUGGACAUUGCUACCCCUUCUACAUGCUAGGAGCAGAAUUUGUCUUCAGAGACUGAACAAAGAGAAAAGGGACUCUCCUCUUUCUGCACAUUCUUCUGAAGCGGCUGCUACUGACAAAGCAACAAGAUGCAGGACUCUGGGAGCGUGGACCAGCAGCUCCUGUACAGCACAUUUCUGCCAGUGCCCCUGUCAGAGCUCCUUCCUGAGAUGCAAGGGAAGACAGUGGUACAGCAAGUAGGCAGCAUUUUCCUAGCAAUAUUAUAUCAUUUGUCUUCUUCAGUUACAUCAGUGUUUCUGUGAGGAAACAACAAAGUGUUUCCUUCCACCAAAGAAUGAAAGGGGACUCAAAUAAAAUAGGGAAAGUAACGCUUUUAUUACCAAAGUAUCUGUGGAACAAAGCGCUUCCUUUUUCCUAUUUAUUUCUAAUCAUACUCAUGCUAACUGUUACAUCCAUUUUCAGCAUCUGUCUGUGUGAAAGAAACUUGGGGAGAAAUUACCUCAAUAAUGUCUUUUUAAUCUUCCUUGUUUACAGCACACUUUUUGUUCAAAGUCAUUAUGACAGUCAUGGAAGAUUCUGAGUGUGAUGCAGUUAUUGAAUUUUAAAUGAAAACUAAAUUGGCUGUGGUAGAGGGGAAAAAUAUUUCAUAACACAGUAAUUUUUCCUCAGGGUACAGUUUCUACAUUUUAUUAGAAAUAAGCAAUUUUCACUGUGUCUCCAAAAUGUAUAUAGCAGAUAAACGUGAGAGAUUAAUCUAAGGAAAAAAGGCUUUUACAAGUAUUUAACACCAAGUGGUGGUUUAAAGUUUGCUUGUUUUCUACAUUUUUUUCCUGCUGUGCUGGAGAAGCUAUUUACUGAUUUUGCUGAAGUAAAACGUAUCUUAGCUUUCUGCAUUGGUCAAAAGCCUCCCAUGGUGUCACUUAGGUGGGUUUUAAUUGAUCCGUUUGAGGCAUUUUUCUGCUUUAUUUGUGCAUAUAUGAAGGAAGGAACAUCACCUAUACGUGAAAGGUACUGAGGUGCCCAUGUGGCUGCUGUACAAUGCAUUCUGCUGACUGGGCAGUGCUCAGCCCCUGUAGCCAUCUCCAGGCAUCUCCCACCUCUCUGUCCCUACAGCCCCCCAAGGGAAAGAACACCAUGAAGUUGCCUCUGGGUGGUUCUGCUAGCAAGGUGAAGGGGAGGCAUUGGAGAAGAUAAAUAUUGGGAUAAAAUGAAUGCACCUUCAUCCCAGUGUUGCAGUCAGCUGGCAGGCAUUAAUUUCAUGGAAUAGCUCUGUCAUCUGGCUGAUCUCCACAGGGAAUAGCAGUCACGCACAGCCCAGUUUGGAGGCUGCUGGGAGGGAGCUUGAAGCAGCCCCCUGAGCCCUGGCCAUGGGGGCACCUCGCUGGCAGGGCCUCUGGAGAGCACAUUUCUGCAGCUGCUCAAGCUGCUUCAGCAGCAUAAUUCAGCCAUUCCUUUCUAAGCAAGCAGCACUGAUGGGCUGGUUUUACGUUCAUUAGAUUUGCUUCAUUCCUUCAGCAGCUCUCAAGCUCCAGUUAGGCUGCAAACGAGAGGAAUAUUCAAAUCAGUGUUUAGUGAAUUUUCAUUAACCAGUAUUAGCUCUCGUUCAGCUUCAGCUCCAAUUACAGUUUGUCAAAAUGGAAGUAGAUAUGAAUUAAUUGUAGCAGAGAAAGUGGUGCGUUUGAUGUAUUUGCAAAGUAUACAAAUUACUAUGGAAAAUGCAUCCACACAUGGUUAGUGGAGUCUGCGGGGUUAUG